UUUCUUCUGGUUUUCAGGAGCAAGGCUGG
rnacentral:piRNA from 1 species